AGGAAAGAUGGGUAUUGCUGUCACAUUACUGCCUUUCCUUGGGGGAAGGAAGAAGCAGGCAUCCAGCCAUGCUGCCGAGCACGCGCAGACCGCAGGCAGUGUCUCCUUCCCUUUUCUUCAUUGUAGACGUGAUUCCCUGUUUGGGACGUGAAGUUGCAGGCAUGGGACAGGUUGAAAAGGAUCACCCAAGGAUUCAGUACAAAACGGGACAAGGCCACAAACACAGAGCAGCUCAGCGACCCUCCAGGUGACGCUGCUGCUCUUCUGUUCCCCAGGGACCACCCAGGGCCUACAGCGCUUCCUUCCCAGGUACCCAAAUGGCAGACAGGGGAA